rnacentral:rRNA from 1 species
AGAGUUUGAUUCUGGCUCAGGAUGAACGCUGGCGGCGUGCUUAACACAUGCAAGUCGAACGGGAAUUACUUUAUUGAAACUUCGGUCGAUUUAAUUUAAUUCUAGUGGCGGACGGGUGAGUAACGCGUGGGUAACCUGCCUUAUACAGGGGGAUAACAGUCAGAAAUGGCUGCUAAUACCGCAUAAGCGCACAGAGCUGCAUGGCUCAGUGUGAAAAACUCCGGUGGUAUAAGAUGGACCCGCGUUGGAUUAGCUUGUUGGUGGGGUAACGGCCCACCAAGGCGACGAUCCAUAGCCGGCCUGAGAGGGUGAACGGCCACAUUGGGACUGAGACACGGCCCAG